rnacentral:rRNA from 1 species
AGGAAAGGAGAGAAGGGCACAUGAAGGAUGCCUUGGCUCUCGGAGGCGAAGAAGGACGUGACAAGCUGCGAAAAGCCGCGCUCAGGGGCAAAUACCCGUUGAAGCGCGGAUGUCCGAAUGGGGCAACCCGGCGGAGCAAACCUCCGCCACCUGGCCAAGCCAGGGGCCAACCCGGGGAACUGAAACAUCUAAGUACCCGGAGGAAAAGAAAACAACAGUGAUUGCGCGAGUAGUGGCGAGCGAAAGCGCAGCAGCCCAAACCGGAGGUGUGGCAACGCACCGUCCGGGGUUGUAGGACCGCCAAUAAAGGCACCCGCACAGGUUAGGGGAAAGUGCUGGAAAGCACUUCCGCAGAGGGUGAAAGACCCGUACCCGAAAACGUGUGCGCAGCCGAGGCGGCACCUGAGUAGUGCGGAACACGAGAAAUUCUGCAUGAAUCCGCGGGGACCAUCCCGCAAGGCUAAAUACUACCGAGAGACCGAUAGCGAACCAGUACCGUGAGGGAAAGGUGAAAAGAACCCCGAACAGGGGAGUGAAACAGACCCUGAAAUCAUGUGCCUACAAGCGGUCGGAGCCGCUUCGUGCGGUGACGGCGUGCCUUUUGCAUAAUGAUCCUACGAGUUGCCGUCGGUGGCAAGGUUAAGGCGCACGAGCGCCGCAGCCGAAGCGAAAGCGAGUCAGAACAUGGCGAGUCAGUCACCGGGGGCAGACGCGAAACCAAGUGAUCUACCCUUGGGCAGGUUGAAGUGAGGGUAACACCUCAUGGAGGACCGAACCGGUAAGCGUUGAAAAGCUUUCGGAUGACCUGAGGGUAGGAGUGAAAGGCCAAUCAAACUUGGAGAUAGCUCGUACUCCCCGAAAUGCAUUUAGGUGCAGCCCCG